ACUCAAAUGAAUUGACGGGGGCCCGCACAAGCGGAGGAGCAUGUGGUUUAAUUCGAUGAUACGCGAGGAACCUUACCUGGGCUUGAAAGUUAGUGAAUGCCGUAGAAACAUGGCAGCAAGCAAUUGCACGAAACUAGGUGCUGCAUGGCUGUCGUCAGCUCGUGCCGUGAGGUGUUGGGUUAAGUCCCGUAACGAGCGCAACCCCUAUCAUUAGUUGCCAACAGGUCAUGCUGGGGACUCUAAUGAGACUGCCCGCGCAAGCGGUGAGGAAGGUGGGGAUGACGUCAAGUCAUCACGGCCCUUACGUCCAGGGCUACACACGUGCUACAAUGGUCGGUACAAUGGGCAGCCACAUGGCAACAUGGAGCUAAUCCUUAAAACCGGUCUCAGUUCGGAUUGAGGUCUGCAACUCGACCUCAUGAAGCUGGAUUCGCUAGUAAUCGUACAUCAGCAAUGGUACGGUGAAUACGUUCCCGGGCCUUGUACACACCGCCCGU
rnacentral:rRNA from 1 species